rnacentral:lncRNA from 10 species
CACCUUAGCAAUCAGGAUUUCAACAUAUAAACCUUCCAGUGACACAAACAUUCAGAUCAUAGCACCCUCGAUGAAUUUUUGCACGCAGAAAACAUUCUGGAAGUGAUUAUGUGGUUUAAUUUGAGUUUGUCUUCCCUAAAACUCAGCAGAAAUGUGAUCACCAAUUUGGUGAUGUUGGGAGGUGGGGCCUAAUGGGAGGUGUUGGGUCAUGGGGACGGGUGUCUUAUGAAUGACUCACUGACAUUCUUUUGGUAAUGAGUGAGUUCUUGCUCUUGGGAAAAUGGAUUCGUUUUCACAGGGAUGUUCCCUUGAGAGUGGGAUGUUAGAAAGCCAGGACACCCCUUGGGUUUUGCGUGUUUGCACAUGUCUGCUUUCCCUUUGACCUUCUCCAGCAUUUUAAGACACAGCAUGGAAAGUCCUCACCAGAAGCCAAGGAAAUGCUGCUAACAUGCUUCUUUUACUUCCCAGCCUGAAGAAUGUGGGCUAAAUAAGUCUCUUUUUUUUUUAAAUAAAUUAUCCAGCCUCUGGUAUUCUGUUAUAGCAACACCAAAUAGACACGACAUUAAGUUAAUAUAAUGGAAGUAAUCUGCAGUUGGUUAAUUAUUCAGUAAACCAAAUCAACAAAUAUUGUUUGUAGCCCACUGUGGUGUGUGUGUUGAGUGUGUGUGUGUGUUAGUGAGGAGGUGGGUGCUGAGGGGAAAGAUGAGCUGAGUGUGUGUGUGUGUGUGUGUGUGUAUGAGAGUGUGUGCGUGUGUUGGUGAGGGGGUGGGUGCUGAGGGGAAGAGUGAGGUGAGUGUGUGAUUAUAUAUAUGUGUGUGUGUGUGUGUUGGUGUGGGGGUGGGUGCUGAGUGAGAACGGUGAGGUAAGUGUGUGAGUGUGUGUGUGUGUGCGUGUGAGCGUGUGUGAGUGUGUGUGUGUUGGGGGUGGGAGCUGAGGGGAAGGUUGAGGUGUGCGUGUGAGCGUGUGUGUGUGUGUGAGCGUGUGUGUGUGAGUGUGUGUCUGUGUGUUGCUGUGGGGGGUGGGUGCUGAGUGAGGAGAAGGGUGAGGUGAGCACGCCAGAGGGUGAUUCUGAAAACUUCUGUGUGCCGGG